UCCCGAGCGUUNUCCGGAUUUAUUGGGCGUAAAGGGAGCGCAGGCGGUCAGGAAANUCUGGAGUAAAAGGCUAUGGCUNAACCAUAGUGUGCUCUGGAAACUGUCUGACUUGAGUGCAGAAGGGGAGAGUGGAAUUCCAUGUGUAGCGGUGAAAUGCGUAGAUAUAUGGAGGAACACCAGUGGCGAAAGCGGCUCUCUGGUCUGUCACUGACGCUGAGGCUCGAAAGCGUGGGUAGCGAACAGGAUUAGAUACCCUGGUAGUCCACGCCGUAAACGAUGAGUGCUAGGUGUUAGGCCCUUUCCGGGGCUUAGUGCCGGAGCUAACGCAAUAAGCACUCCGCCUGGGGAGUACGACCGCAAGGUUGAAACUCAAAGGAAUUGACGGGGGCCCGCACAAGCGGUGGAGCAUGUGGUUUAAUUCGAAGCAACGCGAAGAACCUUACCAGGUCUUGGCAUCCCGAUGCUAUUCUUAGAGAUAGGAAGUUACUUCGGUACAUCGGAGACAGGUGGUGCAUGGUUGUCGUCAGCUCGUGUCGUGAGAUGUUGGGUUAAGUCCCGCAACGAGCGCAACCCUUAUUGUUAGUUGCCAUCAUUAAGUUGGGCACUCUAGCGAGACUGCCGGUAAUAAACCGGAGGAAGGUGGGGAUGACGUCAAAUCAUCAUGCCCCUUAUGACCUGGGCUACACACGUGCUACAAUGGUCGGUACAACGAGUUGCGAGCCGGUGACGGCAAGCUAAUCUCUGAAAGCCGAUCUCAGUUCGGAUUGGAGGCUGCAACUCGCCUCCAUGAAGUCGGAAUCGCUAGUAAUCGCGGAUCAGCACGCCGCGGUGAAUACGUUCCCGGGCCUUGUACACACCGCCCGUCACACCACGAGAGUUUGUAACACCCGAAGUCGGUGAGGUANCCUUUUAGGG
rnacentral:rRNA from 1 species